UACGGAGGAUCCAAGCGUUAUCCGGAAUCAUUGGGGUUAAAGGGUCCGUAGGCGGUUUAAUAAGUCAGUGGUGAAAGCCCAUCGCUCAACGGUGGAACGGCCAUUGAUACUGUUAAACUUGAAUUAUUAGGAAGUAACUAGAAUAUGUAGUGUAGCGGUGAAAUGCUUAGAGACUACAUGGAAUACCAAUUGCGAAGGCAGGUUACUACUAAUGGAUUGACGCUGAUGGACGAAAGCGUGGGUAGC
rnacentral:rRNA from 1 species